rnacentral:rRNA from 1 species
GACGAACGCUGGCGGCGUGCCUAAUACAUGCAAGUCGAACGAACUCUGGUAUUGAUUGGUGCUUGCAUCAUGAUUUACAUUUGAGUGAGUGGCGAACUGGUGAGUAACACGUGGGAAACCUGCCCGGAAGCGGGGGAUAACACCUGGAAACAGAUGCUAAUACCGCAUAACAACUUGGACCGCAUGGUCCGAGUUUGAAAGAUGGCUUCGGCUGUUACUUUUGGAUGG